ACGAACGCUGGCGGCGUGCUUAACACAUGCAAGUCGAACGGAAAGGCCCUGCUUUUGUGGGGUGCUCGAGUGGCGAACGGGUGAGUAACACGUGAGUAACCUGCCCUUGACUUUGGGAUAACUUCAGGAAACUGGGGCUAAUACCGGAUAGGAGCUCCUGCUGCAUGGUGGGGGUUGGAAAGUUUCGGCGGUUGGGGAUGGACUCGCGGCUUAUCAGCUUGUUGGUGGGGUAGUGGCUUACCAAGGCUUUGGCGGGUAGCCGGCCUGAGAGGGUGACCGGCCACAUUGGGACUGAGAUACGGCCCAGACUCCUACGGGAGGCAGCAGUGGGGAAUAUUGCACAAUGGGCGGAAGCCUGAUGCAGCAACGCCGCGUGCGGGAUGACGGCCUUCGGGUUGUAAACCGCUUUCGCCUGUGACGAAGCGUGAGUGACGGUAAUGGGUAAAGAAGCACCGGCUAACUACGU
rnacentral:rRNA from 1 species